rnacentral:rRNA from 1 species
AAGCCCGGGGCUCAACCCCGGGUCUGCAGUGGGUACGGGCAGACUAGAGUGAUGUAGGGGAGAAUGGAAUUCCUGGUGUAGCGGUGAAAUGCGCAGAUAUCAGGAGGAACACCGAUGGCGAAGGCAGGUCUCUGGGCAUUAACUGACGCUGAGGAGCGAAAGCAUGGGGAGCGAACAGGAUUAGAUACCCUGGUAGUCCAUGCCGUAAACGUUGGGCACUAGGUGUGGGGGACAUUCCACGUUUUCCGCGCCGUAGCUAACGCAUUAAGUGCCCCGCCUGGGGAGUACGGCCGCAAGGCUAAAACUCAAAGGAAUUGACGGGGGCCCGCACAAGCGGCGGAGCAUGCGGAUUAAUUCGAUGCAACGCGAAGAACCUUACCAAGACUUGACAUGAACCGGAAAGGCCUGGAAACAGGUCCCCCACUUGUGGCCGGUUUACAGGUGGUGCAUGGUUGUCGUCAGCUCGUGUCGUGAGAUGUUGGGUUAAGUCCCGCAACGAGCGCAACCCUCGUUCUAUGUUGCCAGCGCGUAAUGGCGGGGACUCAUAGGAGACUGCCGGGGUCAACUCGGAGGAAGGUGGGGACGACGUCAAAUCAUCAUGCCCCUUAUGUCUUGGGCUUCACGCAUGCUACAAUGGCCGGUACAAAGGGUUGCGAUACUGUGAGGUGGAGCUAAUCCCAAAAAGCCGGUCUCAGUUCGGAUUGAGGUCUGCAACUCGACCUCAUGAAGUUGGAGUCGCUAGUAAUCGCAGAUCAGCAACGCUGCGGUGAAUACGUUCCCGGGCCUUGU